CAGCCACGUGUGAUUGACGGCUGGCUGCCGUACAGGCGGCACACCUGGGAGACACUGUGGGUUCAGUUCCAGACCACCACAACAAAGAGAAUCUCGCAAUAAAGUGAGUCACACAAACUGUUUGUCUUCCCAGUGGGUAUAAAAGUUAUGUUUACACCAUAGUCUAUUACAUGUGCAAUAGCAUCAUGUCUAACAACACGAUGUACAGACCUUAACUGAAACACAACACAGACACAGUGAGCACAUGUGGUUGGAAAAAUGGUGCCUGGUGGACUUGCUCAACACAGGGUUGCCACAAACCUUCAAUUUGUGCAAAAUAGUAUCUGUGAUGUGCAAUAAAACAAGAUGUGCAAGGCCUCACUGCUCCACCUCCGCCUGUCGCUGCUUUUGCAUGUUUGUGUUUUUCAUUCGAGAUGGCGGCUUCCUAAGGGCAAGGUGCACCUCGAGUAGCUGUGCAUUAAAAACCGGGUGCUGCCUUCUGGGAACGGGUAACAGAGGCUGGUGCCAUCCGUACCCCCACACCUGGCGGACAGACCCCCUGGAGUGCACACCGCCAGCCCUCUCCCGGAGAAGGUCUGGGUGAGGAGGCGGGCAUCUUAACAGACAUUCCAGAUGGUUGCGUCUUCCGGCCAGUGAGGGAAACACCGACUUCCUGGUAGACGAGAGGAUGGAGGGGGCUCUGGGACGUGGACUGCGUCAUCGUUAACUUCGGGAGUCAGCAGAGAGCCUCGAGGGAGGACACGGGAGCCUGGCCCCGGGACAGAGGAAGGUCACCACCCCCGCUGGAUGCAGAUCGACCCGCUGAUAACUCCGUGCCCAGGGGGCAGCCUCCUGUGUGUGUCAUUUACCCGUUACCCAACCGGGCCACCGAAGCACGUGGUGUCCGUUCUCAGCCGGUUUCUUGCCCAACGUGGGUUUGUGUGUGUGCAAGUGUCUUUCAAAGAUUCUAGAAGGCAAAUCCUCCCAAACAAAUCUCCCGAGGGAGAACUGCUUCUAACGGUGAUGGGGAGCUCCCUCUGACCCCUCCCCGUGGCUGGGACCUUGCUUCAGAUGACGUGAGCCCCCCGCACGCUGCUCCCGUGGACCUGCACGGAGGCCACUGUCCCGUCCCCCCGACUGAGGUCUGUGGGAGCCCAGGGAGCUGCCUUCUCGGGGCUGGGGGCUCAGGCGCGGGUGGUGUCACGUCCUCCCUUCUGCGUGGGCCUGGGGGCAGGGUGGACGCCUGCGGGAGGCCCCGUCGUGUCGGCCCCCUCUGGUUAGGCCUUCCCGGGCUCCAGACCGACGCGCCGGGGCCUUGUCUCCUGGCCGGGCUGCACCUGCUCCCCACGGGUCUUGAGCUUUAUGGCAGGAGGGCAGGAAAUGGGGAAGGGGGCUUCCGAGGGCCCCAGCGCCCCUAGGCCCACCCAGCACCUCCUUUUCCCCUCCAUUUAACCCACUCCCCAAGCUUUGAGCCGAGGGUGUUAUCCCUGUCGGACCAAGGAGGAAACAGGCUGGGGGGCUGGCUGGUUCCAAACCCAGGUCCCUCUGGCUCCAGCACUUCCUGCCCCUGUCCCCGGCUCAGGCUCUGCCGCCUCCCCCUGCAGCCGGUGCAGGAGGGCACCCCGCGAGCCCCGUGCUGUUUCCACCUCUCCUGCGUCUGUCCGUCUGUAAUUGGGCAUGGUGCCAGGCGCCUUGUUUGCUUGAGCUAUUGACGCAGGGGUCACAAGUGAGCCCAGGAGCCCGGAGCUAAGGGGCACACGGCCCUCCGCCUUCUGGGGAGCAGCUUCCAUUGGGGUUGCCGAGCAGGGGUGCAGUGUCAGCGCCAGGCUGGACGGUGACCUUAGGACCACCCACGUGAAGCGGGGACCGCGACCGCUGUCCUCUCUGCUCUACCAACAGGCAGCUGGGCCCCCGGGCGAUGUACAGACAGGCAGCUGGGCCUCCGGGACAGACUCACUCACCGAGGGCCGCACAGCUGGACCACGGCAGAGCUGGGGUUCAAACCCCGCACCGGGCCCCAUCCCCAGCUCUUAGCCUCCGACCACAUGUUCUGUGCCCGCCGUGUCAACCCGCUCGCCCCGCUCAGCCAUGGGAGACCUGCUGGAGACCACUUCUGGAGGACAUUCUGGCUUUCCUUUGGGUCCUCUGUUGCUGUUCACAUAUGAUUUUACAACACUUAAGUUUCCAUAAAAAUGAGAAGUGUUCCCUUCUUUUCCAGGGAAAAAAUUUGAUCCUCCUUCCCCCGAGCCCCGGUGCUUUCUCCAGAUACAUGACGGACACUCCUGCCAGGGAAUGUCCCUGUGGCUGAGGGUGAGGGUCUGGGGGGUGCUCCUCGUCUUCCAGCGGGUUUGGUAGGAAUCUUUCCCAGCCUGCUUUGACUGUCUCGUGCUUCCUGGGGCACUGGGGUUUCUGGGGGAAUCCCUGUUCCGGUGCAAGAUAUCUUUGAACCAACCCCCAUGGAGUGGUUGAUAACAAGCAGAAAAUCACCCGAGAGCUGACAGAUUUUGUUUGAUUUAUGAAACCUACGUAACGCCUCUUAAACUUAAGACAAAGAGAACAGUGUAAGGAACAUGAAAGCACUGUGACCGAGCCCCAGGGGAGAACUGGCUUGGAGGGGCCGCCGUACCUUGGUGUUCGCCUCCAGGUAGUUGUAGAGCACGUUGAUGGAGAUGGUCAGGUCUCCGUUGUUGAAGGGGUACGACCUGUUCCAGCCCUGGGCUCCAAAUUUGCGCCUCUCAGCCACCACGGCGUGGAAGUAGCACAGAGCAAAGAGGAUGCUCUUGAACUCGACUUCCUUGGUGCACAUCUCCAGGGUGUCCUGAAGGAGAGACGGGGUUCUGGGCUCAGAUGUCAGAGGGAGGAAGCAGGGAAGGUAGCACCGGACAUCAUUCACAUAAAAUCUUCCCCAGUACGGGACAUUCCGGACUUCUUUACGAGAAACAGUGUCCCGUUGUAAUCACCAACGUCCAUCCGUUUCACAUGUGGACGGAAGGCCCCACUCUUUCACAGCAGUUGGUGAGAUUUCCCUAGAAGGGGGAGAUGGGGCUCCAGGGCCCAGUUCUGAGUCUCGCCCUCUGGUUUGUGAGAUUUUACUGUAUUGAUCCUCGCGGAGUGGGUGGCUCCCGGGCACGUGAGGCUUUGGAAACCCAGCCGUGCGCCUCUUUCAUUUGCCCAGCGGUGGGACGGGGGCUGUUGGAGGCUGCAGCAGGUGACCUCAGGCUCUGCGGUGGAGGGGACUGAUGCGCAUCAGAGUCACCCGGUGACGAGUGCCAGGAGAGGGGCCUGGCCUGGCGUGGGUCCCCUGUGGUUGAGACAUGGUUUGGGGAGGGGAGCAGAAGGGGACCCAGUUCCCCUGAAUGUCCCCUGGGGUUCUUCCCUGCGGCCUGGGAGAGUGGCCUGCCGGGUCCUUCCAGACCUCAGCUCCCUGGGAGGACGCUGGGAAUGGAACUUGGAGAACAGGAGUGACAGUGGCUACUUCCCGAAGCGUGUGACGGGUCUGCCCAGGGAAGCGGCAGAGCCCAGCUCCCUCCCGGCCGGACUUUACAGCGAGCACCUGUCCCUGCUCAGCCUGUCCAGUCCAGCCACCUCCUCCUGCCGCACACCCCAUCUCGCUCGUCCCGUCUCGGCCCAGUUCAUCUAGACUCCUCGGGGUGGUCCUGACAGGCCCCUCUGCUCCUAACGGCCUGUGCCCACCUCCAGCCACCCUGCACCCCCAUCUCACUGCUCCCCUCCUCAGCUUGCCCUACAGGUCUCGGGGGCUCCUGGCUUCCUGCUGCCAGGCUCUCUUCCCCCACCCCAACUCCUCCCUCAGGUCACAGCUGCUUCUUUCUCCAGAAAGUCUUCUGGGGCACCCCACCUCCCAGCCGGGACCGGCUUAGCUGCCACUCCCCUGGCGGCCUGGUGCAGGGCUGCAGACUAGCUGGGCCCCAGGGCCCCAGCCCCUGCCUCUCGUCCAGCCCCCCACACCCUGGACUGAUACUUUUUGCAAAAUAUGUUAAAAGUGGAAUACGAAAGGGGAAAAACAGAUCACAUUCUUGGAUUCACGGCAAUGUCAGAUUGCGCUAAAAGUUACUAAUUGCCCGCUCUCCACUUCUUCACCGAUCCCAUCCCACUGUGGGCCCCAGUUUGAGCAUCCUGCCCUACAGCACCCUGUUUCCCCCGCAGCAUUUGUUACAUGCAUUCCCGUUUCCUGGGAACGUAUUCAUACCCUCACCAGACUGCAGGCCCGUCAGAUGGUGAGAUGGGUUUGCUCAUCCUUUUCUCCCCGGCCCUACAGCCUGCAGGGCACCCAGUAUUUCUUGUUUGAAUAAAGGGGUGAGUGGCCCAGUCGCAACAUGUUUUUCUGCUUUUGGUUCUCUUUGACUUUCACGCUUUGACAUUGGCGUGUCCUUUAAAAGCUUUAAAAGCUGGCUGGGAAUCAUUAGUUGAUGACUCAGUUAUUUUUAUGUAAAAAGUGUUUAUAUUAAAUAA